rnacentral:rRNA from 1 species
AUUGAACGCUGGCGGCAGGCUUAACACAGGCAAGUCGAGAGAGCGGCGGACGGGUGAGUAAUGUCUGGGAAACUGCCUGAUGGAGGGGGAUAACUACUGGAAACGGUAGCUAAUACCGCAUAACAUCAGAUGUGCCCAGAUGGGAUUAGCUAGUAGGUGGGGUAAUGGCGCACCUAGGCGACGAUCCCUAGCUGGUCUGAGAGGUUGACCGGCCAUCCUGGAACUGAGACACGGUCCAGACUCCUACGGGCGGCAGCAGUGGGGAAUAUUGCACAAUGGGCGCAAGCCUGAUGCAGCCAUGCCGCGUGUGUGAAGAAGGCCUUCGGGUUGUAAAGCACUUUCAGCGAGGAGGCGUUACUCGCAGAAGAAGCACCGGCUAACUCCGUGCCAGCAGCCGCGGUAAUUC